UCUCUCACCUCAGUACGAUACAGAAAUUAGUAUAGCCAUUGUGCAAGGAUGGCAUGCAAAUUCUUGAAACAUUCUAUAAUAUU
rnacentral:snRNA from 1 species